CCAGCGUACAUUUUAAGGAAGGGUGUGUUUAGUAGCAUACGUCUGUAAUCUCAGCUUCUAUGUUUCCACAGGCUUGGACGUUGGCUAGCCCAGAGUGUCCAGAAGCGAAAAACACGUACUGUUAAACAGUGUAGAAGAAAGACAUACAGAAUGAAGACAACUACUUGUAUACCACAAGGAGAAUGAAAUGGCCAGCAAGUUCAUCGUAGACUUUCAACCUCUGGGUGUGGUGGCGCACACCUUUAAUCCCAGCACUUGGGAGGCAGAGGCAGGUGGGUUUCUGAGUUUGAGGCCAGCCUGGUCUACAGGGUGAGUUCCAGGACAGCCAAGGCUACAUAGAGAAACCCUGUCUGGAAAAACAAAACAAAACAAAACAAAAAACAAACAAACAGACUUUCAACCUCUAAAACUGAAAGGACUGUAGUCUGCUUCAGCCACGCCAUCUAAAGUGUUUUAUUACAGCAGCCUAAACUGAUAUGUACUCUGGCUUCUCAGGCUGUAGGAAUCUUUUAACCUUUUUACCAAAGUAACAAAGCCAAGCACUUAGCCCACAACACAGCUGCUCCGUAUGUUUACGAACUUCCUCUUUUCUCUCCCAG
rnacentral:lncRNA from 1 species